rnacentral:rRNA from 1 species
AUGUCGGCGGAGGCGGCGGCGACCGGCGAGGAGGUUCCACGGAAGGGCAAAAGGAAGCUGGCGGCGUUCGAGGAGAAGCCGCGCUGGCAUUGGGCGGACCCACUCCCGAUGCCCGGUACCACGACUGAAGACGCAGAGCUGCGGAGGAGGAUCAAGGCGGCGCUGCUGGGCUUCCCGGGGUCUGGGGCGUUGAGCGCGGAGCAGAUGGAGCUAGCCAUUGACAGGAUCAUGAAGGAGUCCAAGCCCGAGACCAAGUCUGUGGCGGCCCCAGGCAUGGUUCGGUUACGGAAUGAACAGAUCCGUCUCUGGUUGAUGUUGAAGAACCCCACCACCGUCUUAAGUCGCAAAAAAAAAGAACCCCGCCGUCGACGAUAUCCUCGGAGUUGA